GACAGAGGGUGCAAACGUUGCUCGGAAUCACUGGGCGUAAAGGGCGCGUAGGCGGGGAUGUAAGUCGGGCGUGAAAUCCCCAGGCUCAACCUGGGAACUGCACUCGAAACUGCGUUUCUUGAGUAUCGGAGAGGAAAGCGGAAUUCCUGGUGUAGAGGUGGAAUUCGUAGAUAUCAGGAGGAACACCAGUGGCGAAGGCGGCUUUCUGGACGGUAACUGACGCUGAGGCGCGAAAGCGUGGGGAGCAAACAGG
rnacentral:rRNA from 1 species